GGGUGUGACGGCCAAGUGGCCGCUCGCAGGCGAUCGGGAUGGUCGGGCCACCAUCC
rnacentral:ncRNA from 23 species